AGGUAGUGACAAGAAAUAACAAUACAGGGCUAAUGUCUUGUAAUUGGAAUGAUGGUGACCCAAACCCUCACCAGAGUAGCAAUUGGAGGGCAAGUCUGGUGCCAGCAGCCGCGGUAAUUCCAGCUCCAAUAGCGUAUAUUAAACUUGUUGCAGUUAAAAAGCUCGUAGUUGAACUUUAGCGUGUUCGAGUUUGCCAUUCGUUUGGCCUUUUCGAGUUCGCUUUUGGGUUUUCCCUUUUUACUUUGAGAAAAUUAGAGUGUUUCAAGCAGACUUUUGUCUUGAAUACUUCAGCAUGGAAUAAUAGAGUAGGACUUUGGUUCUAUUUUGUUGGUUAUUGAACCUUAGUAAUGUUAAUAGGAACUG
rnacentral:rRNA from 1 species